rnacentral:tRNA from 1 species
GUAAAAUUAGUUUAUAUAAAAUACUAAGUUGUGGGCUUAGAGAAAAAAUAUUAUUUUAUUUUACU